rnacentral:rRNA from 1 species
UACGGAGGGUGCGAGCGUUAAUCGGAAUUACUCGGCGUAAAGCGUGCGCAGGCGGUUUGUUAAGCGAGAUGUGAAAGCCCCGGGCUCAACCUGGGAACCGCAUUUCGAACUGGCAAACUAGAGUCUUGUAGAGGGGGGUAGAAUUCCAGGUGUAGCGGUGAAAUGCGUAGAGAUCUGGAGGAAUACCGGUGGCGAAGGCGGCCCCCUGGACAAAGACUGACGCUCAGGCACGAAAGCGUGGGGAGCAAACAGG